rnacentral:rRNA from 1 species
GAUGAACGCUGGCGGCGUGCCUAACACAUGCAAGUCGAGCGAUUCUCUUCGGAGGAGAGCGGCGGACGGGUGAGUAACGCGUGGGUAACCUGCCCUGUACACACGGAUAACAUACCGAAAGGUAUGCUAAUACGAGAUAAUAUGCUUUUAUCGCAUGGUAGAAGUAUCAAAGCUUUUGCGGUACAGGAUGGACCCGCGUCUGAUUAGCUAGUUGGUAAGGUAACGGCUUACCAAGGCGACGAUCAGUAGCCGACCUGAGAGGGUGAUCGGCCACAUUGGAACUGAGACACGGUCCAAACUCCUACGGGAGGCAGCAGUGGGGAAUAUUGCACAAUGGGCGAAAGCCUGAUGCAGCAACGCCGCGUGAGCGAUGAAGGCCUUCGGGUCGUAAAGCUCUGUCCUCAAGGAAGAUAAUGACGGUACUUGAGGAGGAAGC